GUCGAGCGAAUGGAUUAAGAGCUUGCUCUUAUGAAGUUAGCGGCGGACGGGUGAGUAACACGUGGGUAACCUGCCCAUAAGACUGGGAUAACUCCGGGAAACCGGGGCUAAUACCGGAUAACAUUUUGAACCGCAUGGUUCGAAAUUGAAAGGCGGCUUCGGCUGUCACUUAUGGAUGGACCCGCGUCGCAUUAGCUAGUUGGUGAGGUAACGGCUCACCAAGGCAACGAUGCGUAGCCGACCUGAGAGGGUGAUCGGCCACACUGGGACUGAGACACGGCCCAGACUCCUACGGGAGGCAGCAGUAGGGAAUCUUCCGCAAUGGACGAAAGUCUGACGGAGCAACGCCGCGUGAGUGAUGAAGGCUUUCGGGUCGUAAAACUCUGUUGUUAGGGAAGAACAAGUGCUAGUUGAAUAAGCUGGCACCUUGACGGUACCUAACCAGAAAGCCACGGCUAACUACGUGCCAGCAGCCGCGGUAAUACGUAGGUGGCAAGCGUUAUCCGGAAUUAUUGGGCGUAAAGCGCGCGCAGGUGGUUUCUUAAGUCUGAUGUGAAAGCCCACGGCUCAACCGUGGAGGGUCAUUGGAAACUGGGAGACUUGAGUGCAGAAGAGGAAAGUGGAAUUCCAUGUGUAGCGGUGAAAUGCGUAGAGAUAUGGAGGAACACCAGUGGCGAAGGCGACUUUCUGGUCUGUAACUGACACUGAGGCGCGAAAGCGUGGGGAGCAA
rnacentral:rRNA from 1 species